UGCUGGCCUCUGGGAGAGGGUUUCAGGGUGCUCGGACUGCCAUUGGGGUGUUCCAGUGGGCAUUGGGGUGCUCCGAUUGCCACUGAGGUGCUCCAGUGGGCAUUGGGAUGCUCCGACUGGUAUUGGGGUGCUCCAACUGGCCUCAUGCUGGUCAAUGAUGAGGGGACAUUGGGUUGCUCCAACUGGCAUUGAGACUACACCAACGGGCAUUGGGGUGUCCCCUCAGGCCGGGCAGCAUCGUGGUGGAUCACGCCGUCAUCGUCGCUCUGCUGGUGACCACCGAUACCACCGAGAAGAUCAAUAACGUCACCAAGAAUGUGAAGGAGGAGAUUGUCCAAGCAGCAGCCCAUCAGGAAAACUGCACUGACAACAGUGAGCCUCUGACCCCCAGGGACAGGGUUGGGGUCCCCAAGGAUGGGGUUGGGUCCUCCCAGAUGGAGUUGUGUCCUCUGUGACAGGGUUGGGGCCCUCCAUGAAGGGAUUGGGGCCAUCCAUGACGGGGUUGUGUCCUCCAUGACAGGGUUGGGGCUCUUGGGACCCCUUCGGGCCUAGGCCUUGGGGGCAUGGUUGAAGUGUUCCGAGGAUAGGGUUGGGGCCCUGGGGAACCAUUUGGGCCUGGCCUUGGGGACAAGGUUGUGGCCUCUGGGGACAGGCUUGGGGCCCUUUGGACAGGGUUGAGGACUCCUGGACAUGGUUGAGGCCCUGGGGAUCCAUUCGGGCCUAGGCCUGGGGCAGAGCUGGGGCCUCCGGGGGCAGGGUUGGGGCCCUAAGGACCCCUGAGGCCCAGGGGCUCUUCCAAGCAGCCUCUCCCUCUCCUUCCCAGGCAGCUUCUGCUUCAACGCCUCCGAAGUGAUGAUCACCCAACCCUCGUUUGACUUCAACGCAACAGGUGAGCCCGCGGGGUGGGUUGUUUGUGGUAAACCAUGGGUUGGGGUCCAGGGGCAUCUCCCCCUGUCCAACCCCUGUUCCCUUUGCAGCAUAUUGCCGCCAGGUCACACCCAAGGGCUUUGAGGACUUCUACUACCCCAACACCACCAAAAGCGGCCUCAGCUGCGUGUCCAACUGCUCAGCCAACACCGCCGGCGCCAUUGACUGCAACGAGGGGCAGUGCCAGCUCACCCUGAGCGGCCCCCAGUGCUUCUGCCGUGAGACCAACCUCUACUGGUACCAGGGCAAUCGGUGCAAGAGCCGGGUCAGCAAGAUGGCCGUGGGCAUGGGCCUGGCCGUGGCAGCCUUAUGCUUGGUCCUCUUCAUCCUCGCUGCCUUCCUCUCCAGGACCAAGAGGCAGAAGUUGUCAGACAGGUGGGGAAACCCCAGGAGGUGGGGAGGGGGAGGCGGUGGGCAUGGGAGGACCUCCACAAGUAGAG
rnacentral:lncRNA from 1 species